GGCCGCCUGGCGAAAUGGCAUCGCGUCUGACUACGAUCGGACAUAAGCUUGUGACAUUGUAAUCAGGAGAUUGCAGGUUCGACCCCUGCGGUGGUCA